UCUCCGAUCUCUCUCGAUUCCUCCCUUUCUCUUCGAAUACUCCGCGCCCCAUGCCAGCCAGGGACGAGAGCUAGGGCGGCGGCAGCUCCAUGCGCGCGCGGAGAGCUUUGAUCCACAGGAGCGAUGGCGCUUGGUCCUUGUCCCUGUCCGGAGCACUCGCGCCCGUCUGCGUGAGGGGGAGCAGGAGAGUUGCUUGGUUCAGUGUCCAAUAUGCUAGCAUAAUGCGUAUGUGUGUGCAGUAAAUCAUAGUAAUUCCUGCUAUUGUGACUAGUACUACCAGGCUUGAUUCUGUGGUGAUGCUUCCUACAGUUACUAUUACUGAAGCACAUCAUGUCUGUACAUAUGAAAAACCUCUAAGCAUUACAAUAAUAGAUAGAAAAAGGUGUAUCUAAUUAACUCCUACUAAGCUUGUAAUGCAUGUGCUGUUUCUCAUUUUGCCAUGAAUAAUCAGAGAUGUAAUCGUGCAACUUAGCAUUCAUUUUCUCUAGAUUCAUUGGCUUAUAGCAAUAUAAAAAAAACCUCACCAUAAUUUCAUUUAUGCAGGAAGCACUGUUUCACUAAAUUGAAAGUGCUAGAUCCAUAUUCUCCAGAUUGGCUUGAGGUUUGCUGAAAGU
rnacentral:lncRNA from 1 species